rnacentral:pre_miRNA from 1 species
GUCACCUGGGGAUCUUGUUAAAAUGCAGAUUCUGAUACAGUAGAGCUGGGGUGGGGCUGAGAUUCUGCAUUUCUAAGAAGUUUCCAGGUGACACUGA